rnacentral:tRNA from 1 species
GCGGACUCAGUGGUAGAGCACUACGUUGACAUCGUAGGGGUCACAAGUUCGAACCUUGUACCGCC